rnacentral:rRNA from 1 species
GUUAGGAAUUUUGGGCAAUGGGCGAAAGCCUGACCCAGCAACGCCGCGUGGGUGACGAAGGCCUUCGGGUUGUAAAGCCCUUUUCUGAGGGAAGAUAGUGACGGUACCUCAGGAAGAAGCACCGGCUAACUACGUGCCAGCAGCCGCGGUAAUACGUAGGGUGCGAGCGUUGCCCGGAUUUAUUGGGCGUAAAGGGCGCGCAGGCGGCCACGCACGUCCGUUGUGAAAUCGCCCGGCUCAACUGGGCGGGGUCGGCGGAUACGGCGUGGCUGGAGCAAGCUAGGGGGUAGUGGAAUUCCCGGUGUAGUGGUGGAAUGCGUAGAUAUCGGGAGGAACACCAGUGGCGAAGGCGGCUACCUGGGGCUUUGCUGACGCUGAGGCGCGAAAGCGUGGGGAGCGAUCCGGAUUAGAUACCCGGGUAGUCC